rnacentral:rRNA from 1 species
UGAGUAACCUGCCCUUAACUCUGGGAUAAGCCUGGGAAACCGGGUCUAAUACCGGAUAUGACUCCUCAUCGCAUGGUGGGGGGUGGAAAGCUUUAUUGUGGUUUUGGAUGGGCUCGCGGCCUAUCAGCUGGUUGGUGAGGUAAUGGCUCACCAAGGCUUCGACGGGUAGCCGGCCUGAGAGGACGACCGGCCACACUGGGACUGAGAUACGGCCCAGACUCCUACGGGAGGCAG